rnacentral:rRNA from 1 species
UACGAAGGGGGCUAGCGUUGCUCGGAAUCACUGGGCGUAAAGCGCACGUAGGCGGCUUGUUAAGUCAGGGGUGAAAUCCUGGAGCUCAACUCCAGAACUGCCUUUGAUACUGGCGAGCUUGAGUUCGGGGAGAGGUGAGUGGAACUGCGAGUGUAGAGGUGAAAUUCGUAGAUAUUCGCAAGAACACCAGUGGCGAAGGCGGCUCACUGGCCCGAUACUGACGCUGAGGUGCGAAAGCGUGGGGAGCAACAGG